GAGGCAUAGUGGGACUCUGGAAAUGGCAGCCUGGCUAAGGAGAGUGAAGAGAAGGGGUUUAAACAGAAACACACCUUAACAUUCAAGACUUGGAGCUGCCCUAGCGUCCUCCUCGAUGUGAGGACCUUGUAGGCUUUGGGCAGACGGCCCUCUCCUCUCCUGGCGUGCCUCCCUCUCCUCAGGCUUCCUCUGUUUCCCAAGAUGAUCUAAACUAACAGUCUGGGUGGAGGGGCUAAAUAAUUUUAUCCUCCUCACCUCACCCCAACCCUCCCCUAGGUAAAAGAUGAGAAAAAUAUUCAAGAGGUAUUUGACCUGAGUGACUAUGAGAAGUGUGAAGAGCUCCGGAAGUCCAAGAGCAGGAGCAAGAAAAAUCAUAGCAAGUUUACUCUUGCCCACUCCAAACAGCCCGGUAACACGGCACCCAACCUGAUCUUCCUGGCAGUGAGUCCAGAAGAGAAGGAAUCGUGGAUCAAUGCCCUCAACUCUGCCAUCACCCGAGCCAAGAACCGUAUCUUGGAUGAGGUCAGGGGGCUCACUGUGGGGAGAGGGAGGAACGCUGGGGCAGAGGGAACAGCUGUGACCCACUGAAGGGGGAGGAUUGUGCAGGCCCCGUUUACUCGCUCCUCCACCAGCUCUACUUCUUUACCACCCUUUUAAAAGCCCUGAUCUCUUUCUACCUUCUCUCCAAGUCUCAUCUGACAC
rnacentral:lncRNA from 1 species